rnacentral:lncRNA from 10 species
GGCAUCCGGAUGGCGACUGCGGGAAAUCGAGUUCUCAUGCUGGGGCGAAAGGACCGUCCGCCCGCUCGGAAGAGGCGAAUCUCCCACGGCAGACGUCUGGGUGUGCGAAUGCCAGUUGAGCGGGGCCUCGAGGACGCGUCACACACAGCGAGGAUUUGAGGAGGGAAGCGCCUUCCAGGUGGUGGUUAUUUAAUGGGUAUUUGAUGGAGGACCACGCGUUGCAUUUGGCGGUAAACUUUAACCCCUAAGGUCCCAGGGCGCUGAAACAAUCUGGGCAGGAGAGAAGGUCACGGACAUCUUCUGCGGUCUAAAAACGCGGAAAGGCUGCGAAGUCGCUUUCAGGCGCUGAGCGGAGAGCUUCAGAGAAGAGGCAGAAGUGUGCAAACAGGAGCAGGUCCAAGAUUUGCAUGGCCAGAAGCAAUUCUUGAUCCUCUUGGCUAGAUUCGAAGAUUUGGCCACCUCCAGACGCUACCACACUCUGGGACAGUGGGAGAUUUGGAACAGCUUUGAGAAGAGCAAGGAAAAGAAAAUUUGGACAUAGACUCAUACAGAGGAAAGAUGAUGUGAGGACAGACAUCUAAGCCACGGAGCAAGGCCCUUCCCUCACAGCUCUCAGAAGGAACCAAACCUGUUGACAUCUGUUUUUUUUUUUUUGAGAUGGA